UCUUCCACACACCCCAACUGACAUGGGACCAGGCCCUCAGCUCCGUGCUGACAUCCAGCCAACAGCAGGACCAGUUGCUCACAUAAUUCAGUCUCACAAAUAGCUUGUGGUUUUGGGUGGCCAUGUCGUGCAGGAGCUAGCUUCUCAUUUUGGCUUAAUGGAAAACAGCCAUCAUGCUCGUUUGUGUUAAUGAGCUGCCUCAACAAACAGCAGGUAAAUUGUAUCAACAUGGCACAACAGAGGCCUCCCAGGCCACCUUAGCGAGCGUGGCUCCGGUUUUUGCCGUGAUGAAGCUUGACAAAGAGGGAAAUGCUACCUUUUUUGAAAAGAAGAAAACAGAAUUGUACCAGGAAUUGGGUCUUCAGGCUCGAGAUCUAAGAUUUCAACACGUAAUGAGCAUUGCAACUAGGAACAACAGGAUCAUCAUGAGAAUGGAGUUCUUGAAGGCUGUCGUAACACCAGAGUUUCUUCUGAUACUAGAUUAUCGUAAUUUAAAUCUGGAACACUGGCUCUUCAAUGAACUAACAUCUCAGCUGGCUGGGGAAGGUCAACUAGUUACAUAUUCCCUGCCUUUUGAAUUCCGAGCCAUAGAAGCAAUCCUGCAGUACCGGAUCAGCAAACUGCAGGGGAGACUUAACACUUUGCAGCCUCAGAUCCUUGAGACACUGGAAGCUCUAGUGGACCCCAAGCUUUUGUCUGUGGAUAGGAGUAAACUACACAUUCUCCUGCAAAAUGGCAAGAGCUUGUCAGAACUGGAAACAGAUCUCAAAGUUUUCAAAGAAACAAUUCUGGAGAUCUUAGAUGAAGAAGAGUUAAUAGAAGAGCUCUGUCUGUCUAAAUGGACUGACCCACAAGUAUUUGAGGAGAGCACGUCCGGGAUUGACCACGCAGAGGAGAUGGAGCUGCUGCUGGAGAACUACUACAGACAAGCAGAAGAUCUGGCAAAUGAAGCUCGUGAACUCAGAGUACUGAUUGACGACUCGGAAAGCAUCAUCUUUAUCAACCUGGACAGAUGUUUCUCCCUCCUUUAGCCACCGUAAUGUGAUGAUGAGACUGAACUUGCAGCUGACGAUGGGGACUUUCUCUCUGUCUCUCUUUGGACUCAUAGGAGUUGCAUUUGGUAUGAACCUGGAGUCAUCUCUUGAAGAGGAUCCCAGGAUAUUUUGGCUGGUGACGGGGAUUAUGUUUCUGGGCAGCGGUCUGAUCUGGCGACGCUUGCUUUCCUUCCUGGGGCGGCACCUAGAACCUCCACUACCUCCUCACGUUCCUGCAGUUUUGAAAAAAUCCCAACCAGCAGCUGGAAGAGUGGAGCUAAAGAACAACCUUAAAGCAGAAACGUUUGGGCUGAGCAGAAGCACCUUAACGAACCAAUAGGAACAGUGCAGGAAUGAAGAGACUUCUACUGUUACAGGGUGGACUUUGGACACAUUCUCCACGUUUAUUCUUCCUUACUGAAAACUGCAAGAAUUUCUAAACUUGUUAAUUUAAUAUAUAUUUUGUGCCAAAAAAAAAACCUAUGGUGAGAUUUUCAUGCUCACACGCGAAAGGAGAGAAACACAAGGGAAAACAGUGAUGUGCUUUCCACAGUAGUCUCACCUCCACCCCACGUAUGUUCCAUUACCUUUCUGUAUCACAUACAUACAGUAAUUUUGGGGGCAUUCUCAUUUCAAGUGUUUGUCAAAUACUUCUUUGUGUAAUGGCCUUUCUUAAAGAGAACGGUAUUUUCAGCUGUAGGGAUGACAGCUGUCAGCAUUCAUCAGUAACUCGGGUUUUGAGCUGCAGAUUAAGGAGUUUGACUUCAAAUGUCAAAGAAAAAUCCACCCCAAAAGUAGCCUUUAAGGCCAUAUUUAAUUGCAGAGAACAGAUUUUCCAAAGCAAAAAAUGUACCUGCAUCUCUUGGGAAGCAUCACCUCUAAAUUGGCAGUAACCAGAAAUAACAGUUUCCCUUGCUUUAAGUUAGCAAAACCAGGCUUUGAAAUGCAGCUGCUUAUCUUGGAUAAUCCUUAACAAUUAAUUUAGGCCCAAAAUGUAGGGAAUUCAGGAAAAGGGAAAAUGGGCCUGUUGAUAACGCGUGCUUGUGCUUGCCAUCUGCCGCUAUUUCAACACACGUGGAUACAGCUGCAGUUUAACAACAACUCCUGUUCUCUAAGGACUGAUUCAAAAGCUGGUAGAAGUCAACAGGCCAAUUGUUGGUUUCUCUUCAGCUGGGCUCUGCUUCCCUCUCUUUUUGCUCCAAGAAGACAAGCCAAAGCAUGGAGUAGCCUGCGUCGCGGUAAGUAGCUGGGUUAGUAAGGGGUGUGUGGAAGCCUGGUGUCCUGUGAUGGACUGAAGGAAGGAGUAAAGUUCUUAGGACUUAUCUCUGAACUCUGAGGGUGUAGUUCUCCACUGGUUUCUCUCAGUCUGUAGAAGGAUCCUGAAAUCCUUCUAAAUCAGGUCACAAACUGUCUUAUUUCUUAUUUUUUAACCUCUCUAACAUCCAGUGAGUAGCUCCUUAGGUGCCACCAGAUAAAUCACUCUACUAGCAGGGGAUGAAAAAAACAGUAACUGUAGCUGUGAACGUUUUUACUCAGGAUUAAUGAGUCAAAAAUGGAAAUAAAAAGGUACAUAAAUUAAAAAUGCCUAGCUUGGUUAAAGUUGUUUCUACAACAUUUUCAAACAGUUGUUCUUGCUUUGUGUGUGACUUCAGCUACAGGUAUAAAAGGUGUGAGAAGAUUAAUGGGGUUUGUAAUGUUCUUGAGGUUUUUUCAGCUCAAUUUUUUGGCAGCGUUUUUGCUUAACAGGUUGAGAUGUAAAAAAAAAAAGAAAAACCUCUAAACUGAACAAUCCAGUGGAAAAAAUAAUGGCUCACGUACCUCGGCUGAUAAACCCAGUGCACAAAGGGAUGUAGAUGCUGAUGUUUUCAACCAAGUUGUGGUUGCAUUAGGUCAGGACUGAAAAGUGUUGGUGCAGCUGUUGGGGAAGCUUUCACGUAAGUUUUCCAAGCUCUGUCUUUCGUGCAGAGAGGCUUCUGUGAACUGCUCUGACUCCUUCUCCUGGAUGUAACUGACUUCAAGCACAAUAAAAGCACUGUGAGAGAGA